rnacentral:tRNA from 1 species
GGGGUUGUAGCUCAGUGGUAGAGCACUUGCCUAACAUGCAUGAGAUCCUGGGUUUGAUCUCAGCACCACA